GUCACAGACGAGAGGAGGAGAGGAGAGAGGAGAGGAGGGGGCAGGAACAGCACAGGUCAUAUCGGAGAGGGCAGGAACAGCACAGGUCACAGAGGAGAGGAGAGGAGAGAGGAGGGGAGGAGAGGGCAGGAACAGCACAGGUCACAGAGGAGAGGAGAGAGGAGGGGAGGAGAGGGCAGGAACAGCACAGGUCACAGAGGAGAGUAGAGUAGAGGAGAGGGCAGGAACAGCACAGGUCACAGAGGAGAGGAGAGAGGAGGGGAGGAGAGGGCAGGAACAGCACAGGUCACAGAGGAGGUCACAGAGGAGAGUAGUGUAGAGGAGAGGGCAGGAACAGCACAGGUCACAGAGGAGAGGAGAGUAGAGGAGAGGGCAGGAACAGCACAGGUCACAGAGGAGAGGAGAGGGCAGGAACAGCACAGGUCACAGAGGAGAGUGGAGGGCAGGAACAGCACAGGUCACAGAGGAGAGUAGAGUAGAAGAGAGGGGAGAGGGCAGGAACAGCACAGGUCACAGAGGAGAGGAGAGUAGAAGAGAGAGGAGAGGGCAGGAACAGCACAGGUCACAGAGGAGAGGAGAGGGGAGGAGAGGAGAGGGCAGGAACAGCACAGGUCACAGAGGAGAGUAAAGUAGAAGAGAGAGGAGAGAUGAGAGGGCAGGAACGGCACAGGUCACAGAGGAGAGUAGAGGAGAGGAGAGGGCAGGAACAGCACAGGUCACAGAGGAGAGUAGAGUAGAAGAGAGAGGAGAGGGCAGGAACAGCACAGGUCACAGAGGAGAGGAGAGGGCAGGAACAGCACAGGUCACAGAGGAGAGGAAAGGAAAGGAGUCCACUAUUGUGUGCAGGAAUAUCUUUGGCAAGGCUGUUAGGACAUGACAUGUGUCAUGUGGAAGAAGGGAUCCCAUUGCUUACAGAGUUCCAUAUAAGGCUAUGGUUUAUCACCGCCUCAUAUCUUAGCUUUCUACAAUUGAAAUAAUACAGGUAACCUACUGGAACACCAUUUGCUGCACUAACUGUCUGCUGGAUGUGACAAGCGCAGAAUGAGUUGAGCAGUAGGUGCAUCUUUUAACCCCAACAUGGUUAGUUGAUGAUGUGUCUAUGUAAUCACCAUGUCACCAUGACAUCUAGGGUCACUACAUCAAAUGAGUAAUAACGAGAGAUUGAGGCACACACUUAAAGAUGCAUUCUCAAACUUUUGUAUAAUUUCUGCCAGUAGUUUAGAAAG
rnacentral:lncRNA from 1 species